rnacentral:tRNA from 1 species
GGAGAGGUGGCAGAGUGGUCGAUUGCGGCGGUCUUGAAAACCGGUGUACUGCGGGGGACCCGGGGUUCGAAUCCCUGUCUCUCCG